rnacentral:rRNA from 1 species
AUGCAAGUCGAGCGGACCGACGGGAGCUUGCUCCCUUAGGUUAGCGGCGGACGGGUGAGUAACACGUGGGUAACCUGCCUGUAAGACUGGGAUAACUCCGGGAAACCGGGGCUAAUACCGGAUGCUUGAUUGAACCGCAUGGUUCAAUUAUAAAAGGUGGCUUUUAGCUACCACUUACAGAUGGACCCGCGGCGCAUUAGCUAGUUGGUGAGGUAACGGCUCACCAAGGCAACGAUGCGUAGCCGACCUGAGAGGGUGAUCGGCCACACUGGGACUGAGACACGGCCCAGACUCCUACGGGAGGCAGCAGUAGGGAAUCUUCCGCAAUGGACGAAAGUCUGACGGAGCAGCGCCGCGUGAGUGAUGAAGGUUUUCGGAUCGUAAAACUCUGUUGUUAGGGAAGAACAAGUACCGUUCGAAUAGGGCGGUACCUUGACGGUACCUAACCAGAAAGCCACGGCUAACUACGUGCCAGCAGCCGCGGUAAUACGUAGGUGGCAAGCGUUGUCCGGAAUUAUUGGGCGUAAAGCGCGCGCAUGCGGUUUCUUAAGUCUGAUGUGAAAGCCCCCGGCUCAACCGGGGAGGGUCAUUGGAAACUGGGGAACUUGAGUGCAGAAGAGGAGAGUGGAAUUCCACGUGUAGCGGUGAAAUGCGUAGAGAUGUGGAGGAACACCAGUGGCGAAGGCGACUCUCUGGUCUGUAACUGACGCUGAGGCGCGAAAGCGUGGGGAGCGAACAGGAUUAGAUACCCUGGUAGUCCACGCCGUAAACGAUGAGUGCUAAGUGUUAGAGGGUUUCCGCCCUUUAGUGCUGCAGCAAACGCAUUAAGCACUCCGCCUGGGGAGUACGGUCGCAAGACUGAAAACUCAAAGGAAUUGACGGGGGCCCGCACAAGCGGUGGAGCAUGUGGUUUAAUUCGAAAGCAACGCGAAGAACCUUACCAGGUCUUGACAUCCUCUGACAACCCUAGAGAUAGGGCUUCCCCUUCGGGGGCAGAGUGACAGGUGGUGCAUGGUUGUCGUCAGCUCGUGUCGUGAGAUGUUGGGUUAAGUCCCG